rnacentral:rRNA from 1 species
CAGCCGCCACGGUAAUACGAAGGGGGCUAGCGUUGUUCGGAAUUACUGGGCGUAAAGGGCGCGUAGGCGGCCAUUCAAGUUAGAUGUGAAAGCCCUGGGCUCAACCUAGGAAUUGCAUUUGAUACUGUUUGGCUUGAGUUCGGAAGAGGUGAGUGGAAUUCCCAGCGUAGAGGUGAAAUCCGCAGAUAUUGGGAAGAACACCAGUGGCGAAGGCGGCUCACUGGACCGACACUGACGCUGAGGCGCGAAAGCGUGGGGAGCAAACAGGAUUAGAUACCCCAGUAGUCCCUGUCUCUUAUAC